rnacentral:rRNA from 1 species
UUAGAGUUUGAUCCUGGCUCAGGACGAACGCUGGCGGCGUGCCUAAUACAUGCAAGUCGAGCGGACAGAUGGGAGCUUGCUCCCUGAUGUUAGCGGCGGACGGGUGAGUAACACGUGGGUAACCUGCCUGUAAGACUGGGAUAACUCCGGGAAACCGGGGCUAAUACCGGAUGGUUGUUUGAACCGCAUGGUUCAGACAUAAAAGGUGGCUUCGGCUAUCACUUACAGAUGGACCCGCGGCGCAUUAGCUAGUUGGUGAGGUAACGGCUCACCAAGGCGACGAUGCGUAGCCGACCUGAGAGGGUGAUCGGCCACACUGGGACUGAGACACGGCCCAGACUCCUACGGGAGGCAGCAGUAGGGAAUCUUCCGCAAUGGACGAAAGUCUGACGGAGCAACGCCGCGUGAGUGAUGAAGGUUUUCGGAUCGUAAAGCUCUGUUGUUAGGGAAGAACAAGUGCCGUUCAAAUAGGGCGGCACCUUGACGGUACCUAACCAGAAAGCCACGGCUAACUACGUGCCAGCAGCCGCGGUAAUACGUAGGUGGCAAGCGUUGUCCGGAAUUAUUGGGCGUAAAGGGCUCGCAGGCGGUUUCUUAGUCUGAUGUGAAAGCCCCCGGCUCACCGGGGAGGGUCAUUGGAAACUGGGGAACUUGAGUGCAAAAGAGGAGAGUGGAAUUCCACGUGUAGCGGUGAAAUGCGUAGAGAUGUGGAGGAACACCAGUGGCGAAGGCGACUCUCUGGUCUGUAACUGACGCUGAGGAGCGAAAGCGUGGGGAGCGAACAGGAUUAGAUACCCUGGUAGUCCACGCCGUAAACGAUGAGUGCUAAGUGUUAGGGGGUUUCCGCCCCUUUUNNAUGUGGUUUAAUUCGAAGCAACGCGAAGAACCUUACAGGUCUUGACAUCCUCUGACAAUCCUAGAGAUAGGACGUCCCCUUCGGGGGCAGAGUGACAGGUGGUGCAUGGUUGUCGUCAGCUCGUGUCGUGAGAUGUUGGGUUAAGUCCCGCAACGAGCGCAACCCUUGAUCUUAGUUGCCAGCAUUCAGUUGGGCACUCUAAGGUGACUGCCGGUGACAAACCGGAGGAAGGUGGGGAUGACGUCAAAUCAUCAUGCCCCUUAUGACCUGGGCUACACACGUGCUACAAUGGGCAGAACAAAGGGCAGCGAAACCGCGAGGUUAAGCCAAUCCCACAAAUCUGUUCUCAGUUCGGAUCGCAGUCUGCAACUCGACUGCGUGAAGCUGGAAUCGCUAGUAAUCGCGGAUCAGCAUGCCGCGGUGAAUACGUUCCCGGGCCUUGUACACACCGCCCGUCACACCACGAGAGUUUGUAACACCCGAAGUCGGUGAGGUAACCUUUUAGGAGCCAGCCGCCGAAGGUGGGACAGAUGAUUGGGGUGAAGUCGUAACAAGGUAGCCGUAU